GAGGCGGUGCCCGACGUGGGCCGGGCCACGGUCUUCCGCACCGUGAAGCUCCUCCUCGAGCUCGGUCUCAUCUGCCGCG
rnacentral:tRNA from 1 species